UCAUUAAACUAAUACUGAUUCCUGCCACCCCCCCUUAUAGGAUAUUUGGGAUAUACCAGUGGCCUUUCCUUGUUGUGUAUGGUGUUCUUUCUGAUUGUGGUGGGUAUGAUUUUUUUUAGAAAAAAUUUUUUAUAAGCCCUGCCAUGUCACUUAGUUUAACACAUGCAAAAUAAUAUAUUUUUAGGUCAUUUGCAAGAAAUUUCAGGUUCCGUGUCCUGUGGAAGCUGCUUUGAUAAUUAACGAAACAAUAAACACCACCUUAACACAGCCAACAGCUCUUGUACCUGAUUUGUCACAUAAUGUGACUGAAAAUGACGCUUGCAGACCUCACUAUUUUAUUUUCAACUCACAGACUGUCUAUGCUGUGCCAAUUCUGAUCUUUUCAUUUGUCUGCCAUCCUGCUGUUCUUCCCAUCUAUGAAGAACUGAAAGACCGCAGCCGUAGAAGAAUGAUGAAUGUGUCCAAGAUUUCAUUUUUUGCUAUGUUUCUCAUGUAUCUGCUUGCCGCCCUCUUUGGAUACCUAACAUUUUACGAACAUGUUGAGUCAGAAUUGCUUCAUACCUA
rnacentral:sRNA from 1 species